GACGAACGCUGGCGGCGUGCUUAACACAUGCAAGUCGAACGGAAAGGCCCUGCUUUUGUGGGGUGCUCGAGUGGCGAACGGGUGAGUAACACGUGAGUAACCUGCCCUUGACUUUGGGAUAACUUCAGGAAACUGGGGCUAAUACCGGAUAGGAGCUCCUGCUGCAUGGUGGGGGUUGGAAAGUUUCGGCGGUUGGGGAUGGACUCGCGGCUUAUCAGCUUGUUGGUGGGGUAGUGGCUUACCAAGGCUUUGACGGGUAGCCGGCCUGAGAGGGUGACCGGCGACAUUGGGACUGAGAUACGGCCCAGACGCCUACGGGAGGCAGCAGUGGGGAAUAUUGCACAAUGGGCGGAAGCCUGAUGCAGAAACGCCGCGUGCGGGAUGACGGCCUUCGGGUUGUAAACCGCUUUCGCAUGUGACGAAGCGUGAGUGACGGUAAUGGGUAAAGAAGCACCGGCUAACUACGUG
rnacentral:rRNA from 1 species